AGCGAACGCUGGCGGCAGGCUUAACACAUGCAAGUCGAGCGGGCACUUUCGGGUGUCAGCGGCGGACGGGUGAGUAACGCGUGGGAACGUGCCCUCUGGUUCGGAAUAACUCAGGGAAACUUGAGCUAAUACCGGAUACGCCCUUUUGGGGAAAGGCUUGCUGCCGGAGGAUCGGCCCGCGUCUGAUUAGCUAGUUGGUUAGGUAACGGCUCACCAAGGCGACGAUCAGUAUCUGGUCUGAGAGGAUGAUCAGCCACACUGGGACUGAGACACGGCCCAGACUCCUACGGGAGGCAGCAGUGGGGAAUAUUGGAAAAUGGGCGAAAGCCUGAUCCAGCCAUGCCGCGUGAGUGAUGAAGGCCUUAGGGUUGUAAAGCUCUUUUAUCAGGGACGAUAAUGACGGUACCGGAGGAAUAAGCCCCGGCUAACUUCGUG
rnacentral:rRNA from 1 species